AUUGAACGCUGGCGGCAUGCUUUACACAUGCAAGUCGAACGGCAGCACGGGUGCUUGCACCUGGUGGCGAGUGGCGGACGGGUGUGUAAUACAUCGGAACGUGUCCAGAAGAGGGGGAUAACGCAUCGAAAGAUGUGCUAAUACCGCAUAUGCUCUGAGGAGGAAAGUAGGGGAUCGAAAGACCUUACGCUUUUGGAGCGGCCGAUGUCUGAUUAGCUAGUUGGUGGGGUAAGGGCCUACCAAGGCGACGAUCAGUAGUUGGUCUGAGAGGACGACCAGCCACACUGGGACUGAGACACGGCCCAGACUCCUACGGGAGGCAGCAGUGGGGAAUUUUGGACAAUGGGCGCAAGCCUGAUCCAGCAAUGCCGCGUGAGUGAAGAAGGCCUUCGGGUUGUAAGGACUCUUUCAGUCGAGAAGAAAAGGACUGCAGUGAAUAACUAGUAGUUUAUG
rnacentral:rRNA from 1 species